AUUGAACGCUGGCGGCAGGCUUAACACAUGCAAGUCGAGCGGGGGAAGGUAGCUUGCUACCGGACCUAGCGGCGGACGGGUGAGUAAUGCUUAGGAAUCUGCCUAUUAGUGGGGGACAACAUCUCGAAAGGGAUGCUAAUACCGCAUACGUCCUACGGGAGAAAGCAGGGGAUCUUCGGACCUUGCGCUAAUAGAUGAGCCUAAGUCGGAUUAGCUAGUUGGUGGGGUAAAGGCCUACCAAGGCGACGAUCUGUAGCGGGUCUGAGAGGACGAUCCGCCACACUGGGACUGAGACACGGCCCAGACUCCUACGGGAGGCAGCAGUGGGGAAUAUUGGACAAUGGGGGGAACCCUGAUCCAGCCAUGCCGCGUGUGUGAAGAAGGCCUUAUGGUUGUAAAGCACUUUAAGCGAGGAGGAGGCUACUUUAGUUAAUACCUGGAGAUAGUGGACGUUACUCGCAGAAUAAGCACCGGCUAACUCUGUGCCAGCAGCCGCGGUAAUACAGAGGGUGCGAGCGUUAAUCGGAUUUACUGGGCGUAAAGCGUGCG
rnacentral:rRNA from 1 species